GAGUAGUUCGGCGGCACAUAUACUAAAAUUGGAAUGAUACAGAGAAGAUUAGCAUGGCCCCUGCUCAAGGAUGACACACAAAUUUGUGAAGCAUUCCAUAUUUUU
rfam:Loxodonta africana unplaced genomic scaffold scaffold_12, whole genome shotgun sequence.